rnacentral:rRNA from 1 species
AGUGAACGCUGGCGGUAGGCCUAACACAUGCAAGUCGAACGGCAGCACAGUAAGAGCUUGCUCUUACGGGUGGCGAGUGGCGGACGGGUGAGGAAUACAUCGGAAUCUACUUUUUCGUGGGGGAUAACGUAGGGAAACUUACGCUAAUACCGCAUACGACCUACGGGUGAAAGCAGGGGAUCUUCGGACCUUGCGCGAUUGAAUGAGCCGAUGUCGGAUUAGCUAGUUGGCGGGGUAAAGGCCCACCAAGGCGACGAUCCGUAGCUGGUCUGAGAGGAUGAGCAGCCACACUGGAACUGAGACACGGUCCAGACUCCUACGGGAGGCAGCAGUGGGGAAUAUUGGACAAUGGGCGCAAGCCUGAUCCAGCCAUACCGCGUGGGUGAAGAAGGCCUUCGGGUUGUAAAGCCCUUUUGUUGGGAAAGAAAAGCAGCAGGUUAAGACCCCGCUGUUCUGACGGUACCCAAAGAAUAAGCACCGGCUAACUUCGU